GGAGAAACUGCCAGGGUGUUGGAGAAUUCAGCCUUGUUCCGGCACAGUGACUGCAGGGGAGAAGUUGUGAAUUUCUGGAACUGUCCGCAUCUACUGCAAUAAGAAGAUUCUUCAAUGAGGGUGCAACUGGUCAGGGCUGGUUGGUCCUAAGUCAAGAAAAUCAGCUUCCCACCAUUCACUGAGAGCAUGCCAGCUGUUCCCACAAUACCCUAGGAUCCAGUGCUUUCCAAAUCAACACCAUGGGUGCUGACCCCCUGGGUGGGUUGCUUCCCACUCCCCACCAUCCUUGCUAAUUUCUACUAAGGAUGAUUUGAUUCUUACCAUGCUGGUAAGUGACCUGUAAGAGCUGCAGACCUUGUUCUGAGAUACACAUCUCUGAGUUCACAGUGAGCAUUCAAUAAAUAUUUGAAUUAAAUCACA